GGGGAGGAGAAUGGGGCGGACCCGCAGGUGCCGCCCCUCCUGCUCUGACAGCGGGGAGGGAGAGGGACCGGGCAGGGGGCGGUGAGCGAGGGACCGGGCGGUGGCGGCGGGGGAGCAGCGCUCAGAUAAUGAGAUUUUCCAUCAAAAAAUGAGAAGGAAAAAACUGUCCCUACCUUCUGGAGAAAAUGGAGAUGGCCCAGCGAUGGUGUGGCACUGCAGUACUGCUGCUCAGUCCAGAAAUGAGAAACAGAGCUUGUAGGGUGGUUUCAUCUGUACCAUCUGUGGGCCAUAUUGCACAUCAGAUGGCAGGAUAAAAUCUGUAACAAGAACGUUUUGGGACAGAAAAGUCUUUCAGGGUUUGAAGCCUUGAUAUUCACAACACAAUUGCGCAGAGCCACUCAUGUAUCCAAAACAGAAGACGCAGAAUGCCAAAGCAGCUGCUGGAGUGAAAUAAAUGAGAGACCACACAAUUUGGACAACCUACAGAUAAGGCAGUGCAAAAGGACUACCCCUUUUUAGUACUGUCAGAGCUACUGUGAAAAAGCCCAAGUGCUGUCAAAAGCAUAUCUCCCUCUCAGCCUUCAGUAGGCAAAUCUCUGAGCCUACAGAGCUGCCUGCUCCCAUAUUUAUACAUUUCCCAUCUUCAGAAGAAGAAUUUAUGGAUUUAUGUGAAUGCAGAGAUGGCUUGGCUCGUUCUCCCGAAGCACAGAAAGAAAGGAAAAAAAAAGGGCAAGUGAAGUGCUGUGUUGUCUGUGUGCCUACAAACCUCCUUGCAAAAAUAAAUGUGUCGAUUGUGGCUCCAGCUGGGGUGGGAAUUUUCAGUGUUCUGAGACAUCUUGACUCUUGGUGCUUGGGUCCUCUCUACAUGUGCUGUGAUCAUCAGCAUCAGGAACUUGAACAAUGUGCAAAAGGAAACUUGAAAAUCACAAGGCUUUGAGCUUUUCACUUCCAGAUGUAGUUGAGGGUAGGAGGAAAAGUGUAUCACUUGUGAAUAGAAGACUUGAGGAAGGAGUCCAGUGCUAUCAGCAAAUCGGAGUUGAAAGCAGACAGAUACUAGGAGUGGUUUAUAAAAUCCUUCAAGAGAUGCUACUAGAGAGGGAACCAGAAAUUACUAAAAUUGGCAUGAGAAGAUCAGCAUGAAAUGGAGAUAAGUAAACACAAUGAUCAUUAAAGUACUGGUCAAAAUAGAGUCUACUUCUAUUUUAUCACUUUGGUCAACUACCUGGUCAUUUAACUACCCACUGACUGGGAGAACAAUGUUGCUGCUCAAAUCUUAUCUGGUUUCACUGGAGACGAGUUGCUGAGCAACCAGUUAGACCAAGAGCACGCCAAAGAAUGUAAAUGCCUCCUCCCUGCAAAGAAGUUUGGUCUUCAUCGCAUCGCCAUCAAGUAUACUGCCUUCUCCUGUAAACACCAGUUGACACUUGCCUAUUGGGGGACAAGAAGGGAAAUUCCACCAUGGCAUUAGGAACAAAAAAGAGCCUUUCAAGAUUGGUUGCCCAGAGGGACUGAGGAAUCUCCACCCUUGGCAUAUUUACAACUUGACUGGAGAAGACCCUGAGCAGCAUGUGCAAACUCAGCCUCGUUUGGAGCAGGGUGCUGGAGCAGGUGCCCUCCAGUGGUCCCUUUUUCUGUCAUCAGUACUGCCUCAGUAAAAAGAAUGGACAUGGCCUUUUUUAGGUGUUUUUAACUUCUGAGUAUCAUAGGUUGUGGUGCUGUAGCUAACACUAAAAAAUAACGCAGUGGUGAGGUGUUAAGAUACAGGUAGCUGACAUACACCUAAACUCACACACAGCGACACAGGCAAGCGUUGUGGGAAAGCAGUCCAACAGCAAAAUAUGAGGAAGGAGAGGGGGGUGCUUGCAGUUGAGGAAACUGUUGGAAAAAGCAUUAAUUCCUGUUCCUGCCAGAUUUUGUUUCCAAGAUGUUAGAACUGAGCCCCUGUAGCAAACCAAGCAAGAGCUCUGAAUUAACAGCAGGUAUUAUAAGCAGCGCUGAGAGCUGGUUGUACAACUCAUGUACUUGCUAAACCCUUUAUUGCUGCACCUCCUUUCCAAGAAGUGCCAGAAGGACAAAAUAAAUUCUCUCCCCUGAAUGGGGGAAACUCCAUCAAGUCAUUUAGUCUGGCAUUUUCAGAAGUCCAGUAAAAGAAACAGUCUUGCAUUUAUCCUCAGUAAUAUAUAAGGUUUUACAUGUUUAAGAUAACUCUGCUUGGGGACAUUUCUACCGCACCUAUAUAGAGCAACUAAUACAUCAUUAAAAUAACUUUGUUCGUGUAA